rnacentral:rRNA from 1 species
UACAGAGGGUGCGAGCGUUGUUCGGAAUUAUUGGGCGUAAAGCGCAUGUAGGCGGCUUGUUAAGUCACGUGUGAAAGCCCCAGGCUCAACCUGGGAAGUGCGCGUGAAGCUGGCGAGCUUGAAUCCUGGAGAGGGUGGCGGAAUUCCCGGUGUAGAGGUGAAAUUCGUAGAUAUCAGGAGGAACACCAACGGCGAAGGCAGCUCGCUGGGACGGUACUGACGCUGAGGCGCGAAAGCGUGGGGAGCGAACAGG